rnacentral:rRNA from 1 species
GGGUUGUGAGGUUAAGCGACUAAGCGUACACGGUGGAUGCCCUGGCAGUCAGAGGCGAUGAAGGACGUGCUAAUCUGCGAAAAGCGUCGGUAAGGUGAUAUGAACCGUUACAGCCGGCGAUGUCCGAAUGGGGAAACCCAGUGCAAUUCGUUGCACUAUCGUUAACUGAAUACAUAGGUUAACGAGGCGAACCGGGGGAACUGAAACAUCUAAGUACCCCGAGGAAAAGAAAUCAACCGAGAUUCCCCCAGUAGCGGCGAGCGAACGGGGAGCAGCCCAGAGUCUGAAUCAGCUUGUGUGUUAGUGGAACGGUCUGGAAAGUCCGACGGUACAGGGUGAUAGUCCCGUACACCAAAAUGCACAGGUUGUGAACUCGAAGAGUAGGGCGGGACACGUGGUAUCCUGUCUGAAUAUGGGGGGACCAUCCUCCAAGGCUAAAUACUCCUGACUGACCGAUAGUGAACCAGUACCGUGAGGGAAAGGCGAAAAGAACCCCGGCGAGGGGAGUGAAAAAGAACCUGAAACCGUGUACGUACAAGCAGUGGGAGCACCUUCGGGUGUGACUGCGUACCUUUUGUAUAAUGGGUCAGCGACUUAUAUUCUGUAGCAAGGUUAACCGUAUAGGGGAGCCGCAGGGAAACCGAGUCUUAACUGGGCGUUAAGUUGCAGGGUAUAGACCCGAAACCCGGUGAUCUAGCCAUGGGCAGGUUGAAGGUUGGGUAACACUAACUGGAGGACCGAACCGACUAAUGUUGAAAAAUUAGCGGAUGACUUGUGGCUGGGGGUGAAAGGCCAAUCAAACCGGGAGAUAGCUGGUUCUCCCCGAAAGCUAUUUAGGUAGCGCCUCGUGAAUUCAUCUUCGGGGGUAGAGCACUGUUUCGGCUAGGGGGUCAUCCCGACUUACCAACCCGAUGCAAACUACGAAUACCGAAGAAUGUUAUCACGGGAGACACACGGCGGGUGCUAACGUCCGUCGUGAAGAGGGAAACAACCCAGACCGCCAGCUAAGGUCCCAAAGUCAUGGUUAAGUGGGAAACGAUGUGGGAAGGCACAGACAGCCAGGAUGUUGGCUUAGAAGCAGCCAUCAUUUAAAGAAAGCGUAAUAGCUCACUGGUCGAGUCGGCCUGCGCGGAAGAUGUAACGGGGCUAAACCAUGCACCGAAGCUGCGGCAGCGACACUAUGUGUUGUUGGGUAGGGGAGCGUUCUGUAAGCCUGCGAAGGUGACCUGUGAGGGUUGCUGGAGGUAUCAGAAGUGCGAAUGCUGACAUAAGUAACGAUAAAGCGGGUGAAAAGCCCGCUCGCCGGAAGACCAAGGGUUCCUGUCCAACGUUAAUCGGGGCAGGGUGAGUCGACCCCUAAGGCGAGGCCGAAAGGCGUAGUCGAUGGGAAACAGGUUAAUAUUCCUGUACUUGGUGUUACUGCGAAGGGGGGACGGAGAAGGCUAUGUUAGCCGGGCGACGGUUGUCCCGGUUUAAGCAUGUAGGCUGGUUGUCCAGGCAAAUCCGGAUAAUCAAGGCUGAGGUGUGAUGACGAGGUACUACGGUGCUGAAGUAACAAAUGCCCUGCUUCCAGGAAAAGCCUCUAAGCAUCAGGUAACAUUAAAUCGUACCCCAAACCGACACAGGUGGUCAGGUAGAGAAUACCAAGGCGCUUGAGAGAACUCGGGUGAAGGAACUAGGCAAAAUGGUGCCGUAACUUCGGGAGAAGGCACGCUGGUGUGUAGGUGAAGUCCCUGCGGAUGGAGCUGAGACCAGUCGAAGAUACCAGCUGGCUGCAACUGUUUAUUAAAAACACAGCACUGUGCAAACACGAAAGUGGACGUAUACGGUGUGACGCCUGCCCGGUGCCGGAAGGUUAAUUGAUGGGGUUAUCCGUAAGGAGAAGCUCUUGAUCGAAGCCCCGGUAAACGGCGGCCGUAACUAUAACGGUCCUAAGGUAGCGAAAUUCCUUGUCGGGUAAGUUCCGACCUGCACGAAUGGCGUAAUGAUGGCCAGGCUGUCUCCACCCGAGACUCAGUGAAAUUGAACUCGCUGUGAAGAUGCAGUGUACCCGCGGCAAGACGGAAAGACCCCGUGAACCUUUACUAUAGCUUGACACUGAACAUUGAGCCUUGAUGUGUAGGAUAGGUGGGAGGCUUUGAAGCGUGGACGCCAGUCUGCGUGGAGCCAACCUUGAAAUACCACCCUUUAAUGUUUGAUGUUCUAACGUUGGCCCCUUACCGGGGUUGCGGACAGUGUCUGGUGGGUAGUUUGACUGGGGCGGUCUCCUCCCAAAGCGUAACGGAGGAGCACGAAGGUUAGCUAAUCCUGGUCGGACAUCAGGAGGUUAGUGCAAUGGCAUAAGCUAGCUUGACUGCGAGCGUGACGGCGCGAGCAGGUGCGAAAGCAGGUCAUAGUGAUCCGGUGGUUCUGAAUGGAAGGGCCAUCGCUCAACGGAUAAAAGGUACUCCGGGGAUAACAGGCUGAUACCGCCCAAGAGUUCAUAUCGACGGCGGUGUUUGGCACCUCGAUGUCGGCUCAUCACAUCCUGGGGCUGAAGUAGGUCCCAAGGGUAUGGCUGUUCGCCAUUUAAAGUGGUACGCGAGCUGGGUUUAGAACGUCGUGAGACAGUUCGGUCCCUAUCUGCCGUGGGCGCUGGAGAAUUGAGGGGGGCUGCUCCUAGUACGAGAGGACCGGAGUGGACGCAUCACUGGUGUUCGGGUUGUCAUGCCAAUGGCACUGCCCGGUAGCUAAAUGCGGAAGAGAUAAGUGCUGAAAGCAUCUAAGCACGAAACUUGCCCCGAGAUGAGUUCUCCCUGAGACUUUAAGUCUCCUGAAGGAACGUUAAAGACGAUGACGUUGAUAGGCCGGGUGUGUAAGCGCAGCGAUGCGUUGAGCUAACCGGUACUAAUGAACCGUGAGGCUUAACCUUACAACGCCGAAG